UACGAAGGGGGCUAGCGUUGCUCGGAAUAACUGGGCGUAAAGGGUGCGUAGGCGGGUUUUUAAGUCAGGGGUGAAAUCCUGGAGCUCAACUCCAGAACUGCCUUUGAUACUGAAGAUCUUGAGUUCGGGAGAGGUGAGUGGAACUGCGAGUGUAGAGGUGAAAUUCGUAGAUAUUCGCAAGAACACCAGUGGCGAAGGCGGCUCACUGGCCCGAUACUGACGCUGAGGCACGAAAGCGUGGGGAGCAAACAGG
rnacentral:rRNA from 1 species